GAUUAACGCUGGCGGCGUGCCUAACACAUGCAAGUCGAACGAGGUAGCAAUACCUAGUGGCAGACGGGUGAGUAACGCGUGGUCAACCUACCGUUGAGUGGGGGAGUAACUAGCCGAAGGUUAAGCUAAUACCGCAUACGUCUCCGAGGGGCGAUCCCUUGGCGAUAAAAGGAAGCAAUCCGCUCGAUGACGGGACCGCGUCCCAUUAGCUAGAUGGUGGGGUAACGGCCUACCAUGGCACCGAUGGGUAGCUGGUUU
rnacentral:rRNA from 1 species